AAAAAAAAGAACGUACACUGAAAAGAACUUCUCUAAUUAAUCUAGCCUCAAAUUGCAAAGCAAGAGAUCCAAUAACCUCGACCAAAAGUGCCUUGCACGUGGAUAGAUUCUAUUAGUAUACUCUCCAGACCCCCUGAAGAGAUCUUCCAUGGUUUCCACAAAGAGAUUCAAGCUCCUAACUGGUGGUACAUACAGAGUCAAAGGCACUGCAGAGAAAGCCACUGUAAAGAACAGCUGCAACAUCAUUUAACCAAAACCCAGAAACGCAAAAGACCAGUUCUUGACAAAAAGAAAAUUUUUUUUUGGUUCCUUGCUACUGAUUUGCAAGAUUGCAGACAGCGAGAGAGAAGGGGGGCUGAUGAUAUAAAGGGUUUAUAUGGGUUGCUGAUAAAAUCUAGGAUAAGUAAAAGGGAAGAUUUGGGAAUAAAUAAGGUAUACAAAUAUGGGAACAAAAGAAAGUGGUAGAAUAAGAAGAAGAGAGAUCAAAAUUCUAGAAAUUGAAUGAAG
rnacentral:misc_RNA from 1 species